rnacentral:RNase_P_RNA from 1 species
UUUUAGGCAAACGCUGCAUAUAAUUAUGUAGAGGAAAGUCCAUGCUCACAUAGUUCUGGAAUGACUAUACUGUUCGUGCUAGAGGAAAAAAUAACUCUAGGUAGCAUUAUUGCUAACGGCAUUGAAAUAAUCAAGACCUGAUUAAAGUAAAUAUAAAAGUGCCAAAGAGACGAGUUUACUUAGGAAUAAGUAAAGUGGAACGAGGUAAACCCCACGAGUGAGAAACCCAAAUUUGGUAGGGGAACUUUUACAAAUGAAUAAUAAAGGCGUAAAGGAAGAGAAAUCUUAGAUAGAUGUUUGCCACCUAUAUGGUACAGAACAUGGCUUAUU